AUUCAAGUGUGUUACCUGUGAGCGGGUGCAGAUGGACUCAGCUUGGAACAGGCUAUGUUGUAUCCGCUGUCAAACCGUCUUUGUGAUAUUAAGUUUCUCUUUGCAAGAACUAAAAAGAGCAGCUUCCUUUAACCGGGGAUGCAACAGAUUGGCAAUGAGGUACCAGAGUUUUUGUCUGAAAGGGAACAGAGCGAGCAAAAAAGUGCUAGCUCCGUCGAGACAGCCUGUGUAGAAAAGCUAGCACCGAAGAUGGCGUUAGGCAAGGCUUUUCACUUCGAGGAAAGUGAGGAAAGUUUCGAAGCCUAUUUGGAAAGGUUGGAACGGUAUUUUGAAGCUAAUGGGCUCAAGUACGAGGAUGAAUUUUUCUGACGAUUGUUGGCAGAAAGACUGACAAUUUGUGAAUGGACUUAUGUGCACCAUAGAAACCAUGUGAAAAAAUGUUGACAGAGCUGGUCGCACUGUUGAAAAGUCACUACGUAGCGAGGAUGAAUUUUAAGUUUCAUGCAAGGAGUCAACUCGAGGGAGAGUUGAUUAGUGAGUACCUGACCAGUUUAACUAUCAGCCAAAUGUAAAUUUGGUUAGUUUCUUGAAGAGUCAUUAAGUGAUAGAUUUGUGUGCAGGGUUAAAAGAGCAGAGCUGAGAGACCGUUUACUGAACGUAGCUCACACAACAUACUUAACAUUAGCACUUGCUGUGGAUAUGGGACUUUCUUUUGAAGUAACAAAGAAAAGUGCACAGCAGUUUUCACAGACUUUUAAAGAAAAUGCAGUGGAGAAGAAAAGCUUUGCCAAGAAAAUGGAGGCAACAGGUUAACCAUGUUGACAUUGCGCAGGAAAAGGGCACAAGUCAGAUGAGUGCUGCUACAAGGAUCGGGAGUGCAAGAAGAAAAGGACAUAUUGCAGGGGCAUGCCGCUCACGUCAAGCGGGGAAAAAAAUGACACGAAGCAAGCGAAAUGGAACAAGCACCUGGAUGCUACUGAGGGAGAAGCCUCCUUACUACGACUGCAGGAAGAUGAGAGGAGCAACGAUGAUCAGCACCAGGGCAACGCACACCAGUGAGACAGAGGACAAGAACGUCAUUGCAACGGAGACAAGCAUUGCGUCGCACUCAAGCACCAGAGUGAUGAGCAUUGCAUCUCACAUGAGAGCGAGACAUCUGAUAUUAGGACAUCAGCGGUUUUCACCACUGACUAUGAGUUGAGUAACGUAAAAGGAACUGAACUGUUUGCAUUAGAAACAGGUAAGGACAUUACUAAACCGUACUAUGUGUACUGUAUGUAAGGGUAGAUGAUGUGAGACUCAAAAUGGAAGUUGAUAAAUGUGCAGUAGUUUCUGUGAUAUCAGUUGCACAACCGCAGUUUCAAAAUGGCGAAAUUGACCCCUGCAAACUGUGUUAAAAACGUACAGUAAAGAGUCACUAGUUCUAAGAGGGAAAAUCUGAGUCAAGGUCAAGUGUAAUGGGAGCACUAUAUCUUUAGACUUGCUGGUGGUCAAGGGAAAUGGUCCUGGCCUGCUGGGUAGUUGAAGCUAGACUGGUCACGUGUAUCAAAUCAAAUCAAAUGUAUUUAUAUAGCUCUACUUACAUCAGCUGAUAUCUCAAAGUGCUGUACAGAAACCCAGCCUAAAACCCCAAACAGAAAGCAAUGCAGGUGUAGAAGCACGGUGGCUAGGAAAAACUCCCUGUGUACACAGAGUAACAGCUGUAGAGACAGUAGAGGGUUUGUGUGAAAAAUAUUCCUCUGUGUUUCAGCCAGAGCUAGGAAUGCUAAAACGUAUCACAGCCAAGAUAUAUGUAACUAAGGGGGCUGUACCUAAGCUCUGCAAGACUCGCCCAGCGCCAUAUGCACUUAGAGAAGCUGUUGAAAAACAGCUACUCAAGUUGGAGUCAGAAGGGGUCCUUACUCCAGUUAACUACAGUGAAUGGGCUGUUCCAAAUGUGUCUAUCCUGAAAACAGACAAUACUGUAAAAAUAUGUGGAGAUUACAAGGUAACUAUCAAUCCGUGUCUGGAAGUAGAUCAGUAUCCGUUACCAAAAAUGCAGGACUUGUUCACAAAGCUGACAGGGGGUGAAAAAUUCACAAAGCUGGAUUUGUCACAGGCAUACCAGCAAGUACAGUUAGAGGAGAGGUCUAAGCACUAUCGCACCAUUAAGGUUGUUUAAGGUCAACAGGCUUCCUUAUGGUGUUGCCUAAGCUCCAGCUAUUUAAAAAAUAAUAAUGGAUCAGGUCCAAAAUCAGAUCUUAUUGGUCACAUACACAUAUUUAGCAAAUGUUAUUGAUCACAUACACAUAUUUAGCAGAUGUUACUGGUCACAUAUACAUUUAGCAGAUGUUACUGGUCACAUACACAUAUUUAGUAGAUGUUACUGCGGGUGUAGCGAAAUGCUUGUGCACCUACAUAGCUCCAACAGUGCAGUAGUAUCAAACAAUUCACAACAACACACACAAAUCUAAAGUAAAAUAAUGGAAUUAAGAAAUAUAUAAAUAUUAGGAUGAGCAAUGUCGGAGUGGCAUUGACUAAAAUACAGUAGAAUAGAAUACAGUAUAUAUUUAUGAAAUUAGUAAAGCAGUAGGGUAUGUAAACAUUAUUAAAGUGACUAGUGUUCCAUUAUUAAAGUGACCAGUGAUUCCAUGUCUAUGUACAUAGGGCAGCAGCCUCUAAGGUGCAGGGUUGAGUUACCGGGUGGUAGCCGGCUGGUGAUGGCUAUUUAACAGUCUGAUGUCCUUGAGAUAGAAGCGAGUUUUUCAGUCUCUCGGUCCCAGCUUUGAUGCACCCGUACUGACCUCGCCUUCUGGAUGAUAGUGGGGUGAACAGGCCGUGACUCAGGUGGUUGAUGCCUUUGAUGAUCUUUUAGGCCUUCCUGUGACAUAGGAUGCUAUAGGUGUCCUGGAGGGCAGGCAGUGUGCCACUGGGGAUGCGUUGGACAGACCGCACCACCCUCUGGAGAGUCCUGCAGUUGCGGGCGGUGCAGUUGCCGUACCAGGUGAUGAUACAGCCUGACAGGAUGCUAACAAUUGUGCAUCUGUAAUAGUUUGUGAGGUUCUUAGGGGCCAAGCCGAAUUUCUUCAGCCUCCUGAGGUUGCCUUCUUUACCACCCUGUCUGAUAACGCUUGCCGUGCGGUAGCAGAGAAAACAGUCUAUGACCUGGGUGACUCGAGUCUUUGACCAUUUUUGUGGCUUUCCUCUGACACCGCCUAGUAUAUAGGUCCUGGAUGGCAGGAAACUAAGCCCCAGGGAUGUAAUGGGCUGUACGCACUACCCUCUGUAGCAACUUAAGGUCAGAUGACAAGCAGUUGCCAUACCAGGUGGUGAUGCAACCAGUCAGGAUGCUCUCGAUGGUGCAGCUGUAGAACCUUUUAAGGAUCUGGGGACCCAUGACAAAUCUUUUCAGUCUCCUGAGGGAGAAAAGGUGUUGUCAUGCCCUCUUCACGACUGUCUUGGUAUGUUUGGACCAUGAUAGUUCAUUGCUGAUGUGGACACCAAGGAACUUGAAACUCUCGACCCGCUCCACUACAGCCCUCCACUACACCUGUCGAUGUUAAUGGGGGCCUGUUCGGCCCACCUUUUCCUGUAGGCAGAAACUCAAACAGGAAGUACCCGUGCUAAGGGUUAUUCAAUGCUGGUCUGACCAAUCGGAAUCCAUGCUUCAAGAUUGUUUUGACCAUGUAUAGACGGCAGCAGUCGUGCAAAACUGAAUGCUGAUGUUUUGCCUGUUUGAUUGCCUUACGGAGUUAAUAACUAUACUAUUUGUAUUCGACCAUAUUCCCAGUCACCUUGUCUUGGUUAAAUGUGGUGGUUUGCACUUUCAGUUUUGUGCGAAUGCUGCUAUCUAUCCAAGGUUUCUGGUUUAGGUAGGUUUUAAUAGUUACAGUGGGAACAACAUUGCCUGUACACUUCCCGAUUAACUCAGUCACCGUGUACAUGUAUAUAUCAAUGUUAUUCUCAGAGGUUACCUGGAACAUACCCCAGUCCACGUGAUCAAAACAAUCUUGAAGCAUGGAUUCCGAUUGGUCAGACCAGCGUUGAAUAGACCUUAGCACGGGUACUUCCUGUUUGAGUUUGUGCCUAUAGGAAGGGAGGACCAAAAAGGAGUCGUGAUCUGAUUUGUUGAAGGGAGGGCGGAGGAGGGCCUUGUAGGCAUUCCGGUAGGGGGAGUAGCAGUGAUCGAUCGUUUUAGCAACACGAGUACAACAGUCAAUGCGUUGAUAGAACUUUGCAAGCGUUUUCCUCAAAUUUGCUUUGUUAAAAAGCAAGGUAUAGAUGGGGUCAUCUGCUAUCUUGAUGAGAUACUUAUCACAGGGUGUGACAGAAAAGCACAUGAGAAAUCUGGAAGAAGUGCUAAAAAGAACAAGUGUGCAAUCUGAAAGUUAAAAAAGAGAAAUGUUCUUUCUUCCAGAACAGCGUAGCCUAUCUAGAUGCAGAGGGGAUACACCCCAUGAAACAGAAAACUGAAACUAUUGAGAAGGCUCCCAUUCCUAAACACCACUGAGCUCAGGUCUUUUCUUUCAUUACUUAACUUAACUCAGCAAAAAAGAAACAUCCCUUUAUCAGGACCCUGUCUUUCAAAGAUCAUUCGUAAAAAUCCAAAUAUCUUCACAGAUCUUCAUUGUAAAGGGUUUUAACACUGUUUCCCAUGCUUGUGAAGAAUGAGCUGGAAUGUGAAGCUAAGCGAAACUGGCUAGCUUGUAUCUCUAGGUUCAAUCAUAGUAUACCCCUCUGGUCUCAUGCCUAUUGGACUGUGUGUCGGAGGAAUGCAAUACAGUAAGACCUCCACACUAAUAAACUCAGCAAAAAAAGAAACGUUCCUUUUUCAGGACCCUGAAAUGUACCUUGCUGACAGACCAUAAGCUUCUUAAGAUUCUUGAUCCUAAAAUAGGUGUACCAACACUUGUAGCAGCUAGAAUGCAACGAUGGUAUUUGAUUAUAGCAGCUUACACAUAAUGAGAUACAGCACAAACCGUCAGAGCAGCAUGGCAACGCAGAAGCAUUGUCCAGACUCCCACUGAGAGAUUGUAGGGGUCCUACACCAAAUCCAGUGGAUAGAGUGUAAUUUAUAGAUGACUUGCCAAUCACUGCUAAAGAUAUAUCACUUGAAACUGAGAAAGAUCCUGUAUUGAAAAUGGUGAAGCAGUAUGUAUAUCAGGUUGGCCAAACCGUGUACCAAAUGAAGUCUUCAAACCUUUCGUCAAAAGAAAGUUUGAACUUACCAUUGAGGAUGACUCUAUUCUUUGGGGUUACAGGGUGGUGAUUCCACAAAGCCUGCAAAGCAGACUAUUGGCAGAACUACAUGAGAGUCAUUGGUGUAUAGUUAAGAUAAAAUCCUUAGUUAGAAGUCUUCUCUGGUGGCCUACUCUUGAUGAAUAUAUUGAAACUGAAGUCAGAGACAUAUGCAAGCAGUAGUGUAGCAUGCCUGCAAAAGUGCCAGUACAUACAUGGAAAUGAGCAUCAGGUCCAUGAGAGAGAAUUCACUUAGACUUUGCUGAAGACCACAAGCAAAUGUUUUUGGUUGUUAUGGAUGCUUAUGCUAGAUGGCCAAAAAUUGUACACAUGCAGAGUCCUACUUCAGCUAAAACUGUUGAGGUACUCAGAAAUCAGUUUGCUUCCUAUGAUCUGCCCCAGGAAGUAGUCACACAUAAUGGCACACAAUUCACUUCCUGUGAAAUGAAAAUGUUCUUAAAAUUGAACAGUAUUGAGCAUACCACAUCACCUGCAUAUCACCCAGCUUCAAAUGGGUUAGCGGAAAGGCUAGUGCAAAACCUUAAGAAGUCGCUAACUAAGAACAGAGCAGUAGGUGGUAUGACGUUACAACACUGUGUUGCUAACUUCCUAUAUGGCUACCGCAACACACGACAUCCUAGUACACCAGUGGAGGCUGAUGGGAGGAGCUAUAGGAGGACAGGCUCAUUGUAAUGGCAGGAAUGGAAUUAUUGGAACGGAGUCAAACAUGUGGUUUCCAUAUGUUUGAUGUGUUUGAUACCGUUCCAUCAAUUCCAUUCCAGCCAUUACAAUGAGCCUGUCCUCCUAUUGCUCCUCCCACCAGCCUUAACUGUAGUACAAUGAAAACGCCAGCAGAGCUUUUCUUAAAUAGACAGGUCCAUAUACAACUGUCCCUGGUCAAAACACAGUUCUCUUCGAGGGUACAGACUGAAGGGUCACAAGUCAACAGUGACAAAACACAGGUAAGAUCCUUCUCUGUUGAUCAAUCGGUCUUGGUAAAGAAUUACAAGGGAGGAGAAAAACGGUGAAUGGUGUGAUAACUAAGGUCCUGGGUCCUGUCACAUACAUGGUUAAUGUUGAGGCUAACUAUGUGAAAAGACAUGUGAAUCAGAUGUUUAACAUCAUGCCAAGGAGACAAGAUGAUGCUCUUGCACAGGGAGAUGGUUCUCUUUAUGUAGGUGGAUCUUGGGAUUAUGAUGUUGAUGACAUUGAUUUGGACAUUGAGAUGGACAAUACGAUCAAUGUGCCUCAGAGCACAGCUACUGAAGCAGUUGAGAUGCCUCCACCACAGCCUCAGAAUGUUGUUCUGAGACCCCAUCCUGUCAAUAACAAAUGCACACCACAGAGGCUGGACUUGUAAAAGGACUACUGGAAGAACACGUUUUUUAUUUAAAUGAUGUAAAUAAAAAAAUGUGUAACAAAUUGUUUUGAAUAAUCCUGCUACCUGUAAAAGGAAAUGUUAAAAUACUGUAAAUGGGUUUUGUACUCAGGAGUUUUUUGUUAUAAAAUAAGAGUAUGGUUCUCAAAACGAGUUGAAUUUACAAGGGAGGAGCUGUAGUGUUUGAGAGAUAAGCAGCAUGUUAUUAUGCACAUCUGGUUAAAAUAGUAUGCACAUGUUCAGUGUGUGAUAUUGUAAAUAUGUAUCUGAUUGGAUAUGCAUAGCUUAAUUGGUUGUUGCCAGAGUAUUCAAGUGUGCUACCUUUGAGCGGUUCCAGAUGGCAAUGAACAGGCUAUGUUGUAACCACUGUCAUGUUGUAAAUAAAC
rnacentral:lncRNA from 1 species